rnacentral:rRNA from 1 species
CUUGGUCAUUUAGAGGAAGUAAAAGUCGUAACAAGGUUUCCGUAGGUGAACCUGCGGAAGGAUCAUUAAAAGUAUACAGUUCUACAUUCUCUGUAUCGACUAAAUAUACCCAUUCUGAGUACCUUGCCUGUUGCUUCCAUGGAGCCUGACACAUGUCACUCUGGGGAUUUACAUCCCGAGGGAGCCUCCGUGGAAGGUAAUCAAUUAACCCUUGAAUCCAAUGUCAUCUGUCUGAUAAUGUUUAUAACAAAUGUUAAAACUUUCAACAACGGAUCUCUUGGUUCUCGCAUCGAUGAAGAACGCAGCGAAAUGCGAUAAGUAGUGUGAAUUGCAGAAUUCAGUGAAUCAUCGAAUCUUUGAACGCACAUUGCGCUCUUUGGUAUUCCGAAGAGCAUGCCUGUUUGGGUGUCAUGAAAAUAUCAACCUUGUCUUGGGUUUAGUGCUCUUGUCUUGGCUUGGAUUUGGCUGUUUGCCGCUCGAAAGAGUCGGCUCAGCUUAAAAGUAUUAGCUGGAUCUGUCUUUGAGACUUGGUUUGACUUGGCGUAAUAAGUUAUUUCGCUGAGGACAAUCUUCGGAUUGGCCGAGUUUCUGGGACGUUUGUCCGUUUUCUAAUACAAGUUCUAGCUUGCUAGACAUGACUUUUUUAUUAUCUGGCCUCAAAUCAGGUAGGACUACCCGCUGAACUUAAGCAUAUCAAUAAGCGGAGGA